rnacentral:rRNA from 1 species
UGGGGAAUAUUGCGCAAUGGGGGAAACCCUGACGCAGCGACGCCGCGUGUGGGAUGAAGGUCUUCGGAUUGUAAACCACUGUCGCGAGGGACGAAGCUCUGACGGUACCUCGAAAGGAAGCACCGGCUAACUCUGCGCCAGCAGCCGCGGUAAUACAGAGGGUGCAAGCGUUGUUCGGAAUCACUGGGCGUACAGGGAGCGUAGGCGGUUGGGUAAGCCCUCCGUGAAAUCUCCGGGCCUAACCCGGAAAGUGCGGAGGGGACUGCUCGGCUAGAGGAUGGGAGAGGAGCGCGGAAUUCCCGGUGUAGCGGUGAAAUGCGUAGAGAUCGGGAGGAAGGCCGGUGGCGAAGGCGGCGCUCUGGAACAUUUCUGACGCUGAGGCUCGAAAGCGUGGGGAGCAAACAGGAUUAGAUACCCCCGUAGUCCCUGAGCGGGCUGGCAAGGCGCAU